rnacentral:rRNA from 1 species
UACGAAGGGGCUAGCGUUGCUCGGAAUCACUGGGCGUAAAGGGUGCGUAGGCGGGUCUUUAAGUCAGGGUGAAAUCCUGGAGCUCAACUCCAGAACUGCCUUUGAUACUGAAGAUCUUGAGUUCGGGAGAGGUGAGUGGAACUGCGAGUGUAGAGGUGAAAUUCGUAGAUAUUCGCAAGAACACCAGUGGCGAAGGCGGCUCACUGGCCCGAUACUGACGCUGAGGCACGAAGCGUGGAGCAAACAGG